GUAUAUAUUAUAUAGGCACAACAUUCUAUUAACAUACAUUGGGGUAAAUGAAGCAACAUAGACCUGAAAGGUCUACAAAAGGUGCACAGGUGGAGAUAUAAAGAUGACAAGGCGUGCACAUGCUCCCUAGAGAACCAGCAACAACCCAUCAGGUUUAUUUCAAUAAUGAUCCUUCCGCAGGUUCACCUACGGAAA
rnacentral:misc_RNA from 1 species